rnacentral:rRNA from 1 species
GAUGAACGCUGGCGGCGUGCCUAAUACAUGCAAGUCGAGCGAGCGGACGAGAAUCUUGUUUCGGUGAGGUGAGUGACGGAUGGGAAAGUACCACGGGGAGAACCACCCUAUAAGACAGGGGUAGCUUAGGGAACCUGUACUGAGGACCGAAAAAAGUUUUGAGCCCCAGGGUUCAAAAGUGAAAGACGGUUUUGCUGGUGCUUAUAUAGGUUUCCGAGCUGCAUUAGCUAGUUGGUAAGGUAAGGGUUAACCAAUGCAACGAUGCAUAGCCGACCUGAGGGAGUGACAGGACCCACUGCAACUGAGAGACGGUCCAGACUCCUACGGGAGGCAGCAGUAGGGAAUUUCCGGCAAUGGGAGAAAGCAUGACGGAGCAACGCGGCGUGAGUGAUCAAGGUAUUCGGAUCGUAAAACUCUGUUAUUAGGGAAGAACAUAUGUGUAAGUCACUGUGCACAACUUGACGGUACCUAAUCAGAAAGCCACGGCUAACUCCGUG